rnacentral:lncRNA from 1 species
GAAGUGCUUGGAAUACUUUUAUAGACAAAGUAUCUAAGGAUUGAACAGUAUGACAUGAAAGCUCUUUCUGAUUCUUUACUGCUAGAAGAGUUACAGAGCCUAACUAAGACAUAUUUGGGGGCUAUUGAUUCUGAAAAAGAAAUCAUAACUAGGAACAGAGGUGUAUGUGAGAUACUAAAUAGUAUAGGGAACAGUACAUUUUGUUGGAGAUCUGGUCAACCUGAAGCAGUUUGAGGCAGAUGAUUUCACUUAGCAGACAAGUCCUAGCCUCAUGAACCUAAUGUCCAUGUAUUGAUCAACAGCACCAAAAGGAUGCUCGUUCUGCCUCAUUUCCAGGCUGAGGAUGGUGUAUGCCAUCUAAGACACUGUUAGCUGUUUGGAGAUGUAAAUAAAACACAAGAGAAGGGCCAUAUGAGAGGUAACAGUUGGCACAAUGCUUCGUCUAGAGGAAGCUAUGUAACAGGCCUGCCAGUGGGCUGCCAGCAGAAGGUGUGGCCCAGAUGAAAGGUGGAUCUUCACAUCUCAAAGAUCUAGGUUAGAAGUGGAUCUUCUUACUUCAAAUCAAGCAAGAUUCCCUUACAGGGCAACACAACGAGGAAGCCAUUGUUGAUUGAAUCGGAACAGUGUUCUUGGAGGUCCAGAUUUUAAAAGAGUAACAAAAGGCAUGUGUACCAGCUAGGAUGCCUCCAGGAACAAUCAAAAGGAAACUCAUUUCAGAGUGCUCAAAGCUCCAGAA